UAUCUCAUUGUAUAGCAAUUUAAAGGUCCAGUAUGUAACAUGUUUAGUUGUUCAUUGUCAAAAUUGAUGAUGACCGUUCACAAACUUGUCCUUUUUCAUGAAUAUUUACCACCACCAUCAAUUCCAAGUAUUCCUAUUGGCUUGAUAUUUUACAUUUUCAUUUGUAUGAACUGU